rnacentral:lncRNA from 1 species
UUUUGAAGUUAAUCAUUAUUCUAAAUUUAAAUUUUGAAAUAAACCAUUAUUGUAUUUGAUUUUAAAUUUUCAAUUUCGAAGUCAAUUAUUAUGUUAAAUUUAAAUUUGAAAGUUUGCCAUUAAUGUGUUUGAUUUUAAAUUUCGAAUAUACUUUCCUAAUAAGUUUGCUUGAUUUACGGGAUUGGAUAUUAGUGAUUUGAUUUUCAGAUUUUAAAUUUUAAAUUUUGAAGUCAAUCAUUAUUUUAAAUUUAAAUUUUGAAGUAAUGGCAAUCUGAGUCUGAUUUUUUUCGUGAUUAAUAUCCGCUUGAGUAACCCAAUCUGAGUCUGAUUUUUUUCGUUAACGAUUCUGGUAAACUUUCCCGAUUUGGGUUUUCUGCAAGGCUAAUCAUCUAAAUUAAUUUGUUAUUUUUAUGGUUUACCAUUGCAUAACUUAGUAUAAUUUGUUGACAAAGUUUUGUUUUGUGGGAUAGUAGUCAUAAAUUGAGUAAUAUUUAAGGUUUAUGUGUUUUUAUUUUGAUUCAUUAAAUAAGAUGUGUUUGAGUAAUAUUCAAGGUUUAUGUAUAUAUGAGAUUUUGUUGAUUGGCAUAAGGUGUUAGAUAAGAUGUGUUUGAAGUUGUGAAGAUGAAUAAGUGAGACAUGUGUAGCAGAUAUUAGUGAGUGCACAACACAUUAGUUAGGGUUUUGAAUUAUUGCUACAGGUUAGUGAUGUUAGAGAUUGUGUUUUGAGAAAUGUGUAGAUUGAAUUAUGUUUGUGUUUGAUUGUGACACCUUUGAUUGUGCAUGAAAUUGCUGGUUAUAUGAGAUUUUGUUGAUUGUAGAC